GAUGAACGCUAGCGGGAGGCCUAACACGUGCAAGCCGAGCGGUAUUGUUUCUUCGGAAAUGAGAGAGCGGCGUACGGGUGCGUAACACGUGUGCAACCUGCCUUUAUCUGGGGGAUAGCCUUUCGAAAGGAAGAUUAAUACUCCAUAAUAUAUUGAACGGCAUCGUUUAAUAUUGAAAGCUCCGGCGGAUAGAGAUGGGCACGCGCAAGAUUAGCUAGUUGGUGAGGUAACGGCUCACCAAGGCGAUGAUCUUUAGGGGGCCUGAGAGGGUGAUCCCCCACACUGGUACUGAGACACGGACCAGACUCCUACGGGAGGCAGCAGUGAGGAAUAUUGGUCAAUGGGUGCAAGCCUGAACCAGCCAUCCCGCGUGAAGGACGACUGCCCUAUGGGUUGUAAACUUCUUUUGUAUAGGGAUAAACCUACCCUCGUGAGGGUAGCUGAAGGUACUAUACGAAUAAGCACCGGCUAACUCCGUG
rnacentral:rRNA from 1 species